UUAAGUUCAGCGGGUCUUCCUACCUGAUCCGAGGUCAACCUUGUAAAAUGGGGGGUUUAACGGCCGGAACCCGCAGCACGCCCUGAGCGAGAUGUAACUACUACGCUCGGAGUGACAGCGAGCCCGCCACUGGUUUCAGGGCCUGCGGCAGCCGCAGGUCCCCAACACAAGCCCGGGGCUUGAUGGUUGAAAUGACGCUC
rnacentral:misc_RNA from 1 species